GAUGAAGAACGCAGCGAAAUGCGAUAAGUAAUGUGAAUUGCAGAAUUCAGUGAAUCAUCGAAUCUUUGAACGCACAUUGCGCCCGCGAGUAUUCUCGCGGGCAUGCCUGUCCGAGCGUCAUUUCAACCCUCAGGGCCCGCCUGCUUCGGCAGGCGCGGCGCUGGUGUUGGGGAUCGGCCUAACCGCCGUUCCCCAAAUACAGUGGCGGUCUCGCUGCAGCCUCCCCUGCGUAGUAGCAACACUCGCAUGCGGAGCGCGGCGCGGCCACGCCGUAAAACCCCCGACUUUCUGAACGUUGACCUCGGAUCAGGUAGGAAUACCCGCUGAACUUAAGCAUAUCAAUAAGCGGAGGA
rnacentral:misc_RNA from 1 species